UGCAAGUCGAACGAAGCGCUUGAGAUUGAUUCUUCGGAUGAUUUCUCUUGCGACUUAGUGGCGGACGGGUGAGUAACGCGUGGGUAACCUGCCUCACACAGGGGGAUAACAGUUGGAAACGACCGCUAAUACCGCAUAACCCGCUAGGGCCGCAUGGCCCGGACGGAAAAGAUUUAUCGGUGUGAGAUGGACCCGCGUUGGAUUAGCUAGUUGGCAGGGUAACGGCCUACCAAGGCGACGAUCCAUAGCCGGCCUGAGAGGGUGAACGGCCACGUUGGGACUGAGACACGGCCCAAACUCCUACGGGAGGCAGCAGUGGGGAAUAUUGCACAAUGGGGGAAACCCUGAUGCAGCGACGCCGCGUGAGUGAAGAAGUAUUUCGGUAUGUAAAGCUCUAUCAGCAGGGAAGAAAAUGACGGUACCUGACUAAGAAGCCCCGGCUAACUACGUGCCAGCAGCCGCGGUAAUACGUAGGGGGCAAGCGUUAUCCGGAUUUACUGGGUGUAAAGGGAGCGUAGACGGCUAAGCAAGUCAGAAGUGAAAGGCUGGGGCUCAACCCCGGGACUGCUUUUGAAACUGUUUGGCUAGAGUGCUGGAGAGGUAAGCGGAAUUCCUAGUGUAGCGGUGAAAUGCGUAGAUAUUAGGAGGAACACCAGU
rnacentral:rRNA from 1 species